GCCUCCCAAAAGGUAACGGAGGCGCUCAAAGGUUCUCUCAGUACGGUCGGAAAUCGGACGUAGAGGGUAAAGGAAAAAGAGGGCUUGAUUGCAAGACGUACAGGACGAGCAAAGAUGAACAUCGGAGUGAGUGAUGCGGUGGUUGUGGGUGGAAGGGCCAGGGCUCAGCGGAUAAAAGCUACCCGGGGGAUAACAGGCUUAUCUCCCCCAAGAGUCCACUUCGAAGGUGGGGUUUGGAACGGCGAUGUCGGCUCAUCACAUCCUGGGGCUGUAGUAGGUCCCAAGGGUUGGGCUGUUCGCCCAUUAAAGUGGUACGCGAGCUGGGUUCAGAACGUCGUGAGACAGUUCGGUCCCUAUCCGUCGCAGGCGUAGGAAAUUUGAGAAGACCUGUCCUUAGUACGAGAGGACCGGGAUGGACGUACCUCUGGUGUACCAGUUGU
rnacentral:rRNA from 1 species